rnacentral:miRNA from 1 species
AUUGCCGCGUCGUCUUUGGCG